rnacentral:rRNA from 1 species
UACGGAGGGAGCUAGCGUUGUUCGGAAUUACUGGGCGUAAAGCGCGUGUAGGCGGCUUUGCAAGUCGGGUGUGAAAGCCCUCAGCUCAACUGAGGAAGUGCGCCCGAAACUGCAGAGCUUGAGUACCGGAGAGGAUGGUGGAAUUCCCCAAGUAGAGGUGAAAUUCGUAGAUAUGGGGAGGAACACCGGUGGCGAAGGCGACCAUCUGGACGGAUACUGACGCUGAGACGCGAAAGCGUGGGUAGCAAACAGG